rnacentral:rRNA from 1 species
GUGGGGAAUAUUGGGCAAUGGGCGAAAGCCUGACCCAGCAACGCCGCGUGAAGGAAGAAGGUUUUCGGAUCGUAAACUUCUAUCCUUGGUGAAGAUAAUGACGGUAGCCAAGAAGGAAGCCCCGGCUAACUACGUGCCAGCAGCCGCGGUAAUACGUAGGGGGCAAGCGUUGUCCGGAAUGAUUGGGCGUAAAGGGCGCGUAGGCGGCCCGGUAAGUCUGAAGUGAAAGUCCUGCUUUUAAGGUGGGAAUUGCUUUGGAUACUGUCGGGCUUGAGUGCAGGAGAGGUAAGCGGAAUUCCCGGUGUAGCGGUGAAAUGCGUAGAGAUCGGGAGGAACACCAGUGGCGAAGGCGGCUUACUGGACUGUAACUGACGCUCAUGCACGAAAGCGUGGGGAGCAAACAGGAUUAGAAACCCUAGUAGUCC